UGGGGCGGUGGGGCUGCCCUGACCCCCCGCGCUCCCACCGCGGUCCGGUCCCCGCGCCCCGUGUGGGGCGAGUCCCGUCGGUGCUGGGCGCUCUCUCCCCCCGCCCCGGCCUCUGCCCCGCUCGCCCCCGCCGUGGAGGGUGAGCCCGGUCUGCAGGCACAAAACCCCUCCGAGCAGCGCAUCCCUGGCCAGUCCCGGGGAGCAGGAGAUGGUUCGGGCGGGAGGGAGCGGCGGAGGGUCCGCUCGGGCAGGCGCCGCUGUACCACAGCCCCGGGGAUGCUCCUAAGCCGCGGGGCUUCAGCGCCUCCCGUUUCAGUCCCCGCAGGAGCCCCCAACACCGAGCCCGGUGGGCUGCGACCCGACGGGCUCGGGAGCAGCGGGUUCCCCACGGAAAAGGCUCCCGGAGCCGCGGUGCCGUGGGGACGUGACUCGCCGCCACGCUCCGGCCGGCGGUGCCCGCCAAGUGCCACCGGUCCCUGCGCUGCCCCCCCGCCACCCCCCGGCUCUCGGGCGGGGGGGAUGCUCGGCGGCCGCCCCCUCCCAAAACCCCUCCGGGUAGCGGGGCCCGGCGGCUGCGGGAAAGCCCCGUUUCCACCUGAGCGAGCUGACAAGGCAGAGGGGACGAGCCGGCGGCCGCCCCCCCGAGCGGAGGGAUGCGAUGCCGUGCCCUGCCCUGCCGUGCCGUGCCGGGCGCUCCCCGCAUGCACGGCCACACGUAGGCGGCCGGGGCAGCGGGGCGGGCGGGGAGGGGGCCGCGGCUGCCGAGCCGCACGUAGGGUGGGUGGGUGCGGCCUCGCCGGCGGCGCGGAGCGGGCGGAGGGGGCUCCGCUGCCCGCGCUCCCCCGCGCACCGAGGGGCUGAGCGGACACCCAGAGGAGCCCCGGCUUCGGAGAGAGCCCCGAGCCUCCAUUUCUUCACAUUCAAUUUCCUUGUGACAACAGAUGUUCCUGCUCUAGUCAUGGAUAUCUUGGUCUGAGAAGCUUGAGGCUCCUGACAUACAGGUAUAUCCAGAAAGAGCCAUUACGAAAAGUCUGACCUUUAACAAUACUGAAAAAAUAUUUUAGCUAUUUAACCUCACUGAUUAAACAUUUCUUACUGAAGCCAGGCCUCAAGUACCUUUUCUCAUCAUGGAAGACUAAGGGUGGAGGUGAAAAAACAUCUGAAUUCUCUUCUUCCUCUUUCUUGGACCACAGAUUUCACUGUAAACUCAAUUUUGUCAAAGGUAUUUCAAGGUAACUGUCGUGGUUGAACCCCAGCCCACAACUAAGUACCACAAAGCUGUCUGCUCACUAUCUGUCCUGCCCUGGUGGGAGGGGGAGGAGGACUGGAAAAAGGUAAAACCCAUGGACUGACAUAAGAACAGUUUAAUAAUUUUAAUAAAAUAAUAAUUGUAAUGAUAAGGGAGACAACAAAAAGAGAGAGAGGAACAAAACCCAAGACAGACAAGUGGUGCACAGUGCAAUUGCUCACCACCCACUGAGCGAUGUCCAGCCCAUCCCAAAGCAGAGACUGGCGCCUCCCGGCCAACUCUCCCAGUUUAUACACUGGGCAUGACAUUCUGUGGUCUGGAAUAUCUCCUUGGUCAGCUCAGGUCAACUGUCCUGGCUGUGUCUCCUCCUGGCUCCUUGUGCAUCUCCUCACUGGCAGAGCAUGGGAAACUGGAAAGUCCUUGCUUGACUCAGAGUAAGCACUGCUCAGCAACAACUAGAACAUCGGUGUGUUAUCAACAUUAUUCUCAUCCAGUGCUCAUACACAGCACUGCACCAGCUACUAGGAAGAAAAUUAACUCUAUCCCAGCUGAAACCAUGACAGUAGCCCAAGCAAUUCUGCUGCCUUAGACAGAUUCACCUUUAUACCUCUGGUAUUUCUUUGUUAGCCACUCAUUCAAGAUCCCAUCACCUGCAGAAAGUUCAUCCUACAACAGAAACUCAAGGGAGAAUUACUGAAGUAACUGGUUUCUCUUCACUCAGAUGCCUGCAGUUUUGUCAUGGCUUCCUUUUCAACUGCAGACACUUUUAAGUUAAACCCCCCUCCUUGCUUUGGCAAUGAGUGCACUCCAAGGCCACAGGUUUGUCAGGCUUGUGUGAAUCACACAAGGCACGUAGAGAAGGACAACGCAAGAGAUGAAAAUAGAUGGUAACCUCACAAGCUGAGCUUUCAGCCCUUGUAUUUUCUUUCUGACAGCCUAACGUUCUUGAAAGUAUUUUGGGUAGUUUCUAGAUUUUUGCAAGGUUUUAGCACAAUUAACAGCAGCCUUCAACAGGAAGAGUUAAAGCUUCUCACAACAGCGGAAUCACUAAUUACCGACCUAAACGCGGGUUAAAUCGAGCUCAUAGUGCUUCUGUUAAAAAUUAAUCCUGGAGUAAGAUCCUCAAGUGCCACCAGCUGGAGAGCUGCCUACUGCGAGAAGGGCAAAAUCCAAGGAAAAGGACGAUGCUGGUCCCAACCAGCGCUGUCCGAGCGGCAGCGUCUCCUCUCCCUUUUACUACGUGUUUCCUUUCUAGAAAGGCUACUACUAUAGAUAGAUGUUUAAACUGUACAGCACAACAGUUUGCUAUUUUUAGCUGCUAUUUAAACCAAAGCUGUAACCAAUCUGAGUAAAACCCAGCCAUUUAAAUAGGAAGAUUAACUACCAGCUUCAAAGAGCAUUUCUUUAAUGGAUCAAAUUAAUAGGGAAAAGGUCUUUCACAAAUGAGGUUUAAUUACCAAAUGAAGUCAUUGUUGCCUCAACACUGAAUGCCACCAAAUAAAAAAAAAAGGAAAAAAAAAUCCUUUACUGUUGCAACUACUCUGAGCUUUGUUACUUAAAAUUGCAUAAAGUAAAUGAAAAAACACACUUCAGCAUAUGUAGCUGCCCACAAAUUUCUGUGUAGCCAAUUAAAUGAUGUUGAAUUCCUGUAAAGAAAAUGUAUUGCCAAAGUGAGCACUUUCUCAACUAGGGGAGAAAAAAGGAAGCUCAAGGGAGAAGACUUUAAACAGCAAGAUGUGAGCUGCCACAAAAUCAGUUUAAAUAAAUCCUAUCACUUCUCUUAUCAGUUUUUUUCAGAACUGCCCCUGUGUACAACUCAUGAUCUUCACAACAGAAAUACCAUUCUGUAGAAAUGGAACCAAGUCCACUUAAAACAACCCCCAAGCUUGAGAACUGUAUUAGAACUGUGCAAGACUGGUGUCAGUCUUGCACAGAACGAAAACACCUGAAGAAAAUCUCAGCUGAAGAGUGACUAUACAUGCAGUGAAAAUAUCAGAAGCGCCAGUGCUGGACAGGAAAUUGCACGAAUUUGCAGGUAUGAUUUGUCCUGCACAAUUCCAGUGCCAGACAUCCAUUUCCAUUUUGUAUUUCUGUCACCAGAAUACAGAAGCAGAGAGCAAUCAUAAGCACAUUAUCCCUAUAACUCACAGAAAGCAGUGUUUCACUGACCCCUUUAAACUCAGUAUCAGGCACUUUCUAUAUAUAAGAGAAGUUUACACGCAAUAGCUGGAUAAAAUCUGAGUUCCAGAAGUUAUUUGAGUUAGAGACUCAGAAUAAAAGGGUAUUUCAUGACUAGGAUUCACUGCUGCUGAACCAAGAGCUCAAGCUGAAGGAUAUAACCCAGACUUUCACUAUGGUGAAUAGAAACAAAGUCUUACAGCAAGAAUUACCCAAACAUCCUUCAGAGCAAAGCACACCAGCAGCAAUCCCAUGCACACCACUAACAGAUGUUAAUGUGGCCUUUCUACUUGAUUGUGCAACUCCUGUCAUUAUGGUCACAGGAACCAUUUCGGCCAGAGCAUCUCCCAAAUAAUACAUACUUGCCCAUACCAUCCCAAAGACCCCUCUGCCCACCAUGGCAUAUUCCUACAAGUGAGUCCCCAAGUGUCUGAAUACAGCCCCCAGUUUCCAUUUCCCUGAGUGUAAAAUGAAUCAAUGGCCAUGUAUAUACUGAUUAAUUCCUGCUUAUUUACCACUGGCAAAUAGGUUUUAAAAAAAAAAAACAACCAACAAACUGGAAAAUAUCACCAGUAACUGAUAAACUUCAAUUAAAAAUAACUAGAUAACAGACCACUUUGUUUACUUCUACCUUUUUUUUUAUCACCACUCAGUGUUAAGGAAAUUUUUACAUUGUGUACACAAUAUUAGAUUAACACAAAAAUCAAUGAGUUUCCUGUAUGUUGCUUUACUACUGUUAUAUAUUUUUUAGCUUUUCUCUAACUUUCUCUAACUGGGUAGAUUUUGCCCUAUAGGUCUUUAAUUCCCCUGUAAAAUAACUAUUGUGAACAUAUUAAUUAAUCCAGGCACACCUUUCCUGAUCCAAGUUUUGAGAACAUUUUAAAAAAUUAUAAACAUCUGAUACCAAUUCAAAUUGUCCUAUUUAGAAUUGUUUUCUAGUAUCAAGUUUCUUUGUAUUCAUUGUAUCAUCUGUUCCUCAAGUUUCACAGAAAUAUACCAUGUGGAAACAACGUAAACCAAUGAAUAACGUGCCUCAAAAAUGUUAACAUCUCCUUAUCGAGCUUUAACUAGCUUUCAGUUGUACCAUUAAUUCCCAUCAUUUGCCAGUACAAGAGUCACAGAAUCAUUCACUGUUGGGUACAACCUCUCCUCAGAUUGUAAAACUAGUAUGGGAAAUACCUGGCUUAGAAAUGGGAGUCACAGAGACCAUAUCCACUACAUCAUAGCUUCAUUUUUAAUUCAUUACACAAAAAGAGAUGCAGCUAUUACAAUACAAUAAUGUAUUAACAGUGUAUGACAUCAAGGUAGUAUUGGAACUUUAGAAAGUUCCAAAGACCUGGAAUGGGCCUUUUAUUUCGCUUUUAAGGUUGAACUUGUUCCUGCAUUUGGUAUAAAACUCGGUCCUCUUUUCAGGCCCAGCUUAAUCCAGGUAUUUCUGCCAGCACAGCUGAACAGGGCAGAGGUGCAGCUCCCAGUCUGCAGCUGUACCCCAGCAGAACACCCAGAGUAACCAGCUGUGUUCAUGUGGAUUGGGCAUGCCCAUGAUGACCACUCUCACCUACAGCCAGAGUGUGUUACAAGAGAGCUCUACUCUCUCAACUGUGCUGAAUAUGCAGCCACUCAUUUUUCUUCGCUGUUUUAGAACUUCGUUUUGUCCAGAGAUGGACUAAAUUAUUCCACCAUGGAAAGAAAUCCCAGGCAAGCCCUGUGCUUAGCACAGAGAAACUAAAACAGUGGAACUGCCCUAUAGACAACUUCAUACGAAAAAUGAGUUUAUAAAAAGAGAAUACUAUUCAAAUACAAUUAUUUGGAUAUAUAGGGAGCUAAUGCUGCAAGUAUUCUUCCAAAGGAAAAAAAACACCAAGAGAACCCACCCAAAAGUCCCUCAUCUUCCACCUGGCAUAGAUGAAGAACAUGCCAGUUAGUCCUCUUAUCCCCUUAAAAAUACUUUUUAAUUGAAGCUGAUCAACUUCAAUGAAGGGUGACAGAACUGGAGCAUAGAGUUUUGAGAUGGACCCACACAAACAUUGCCCAGAGUCUUGCUUUGACAUGAUUUCCUUUUUUAAGUACUAUUGCUUUCACCAUUAUGAUCAAUUUUAUUUACCAAUUCUUCUUAUUUUACCGUCUGCGUAGAGACUUCUUGUGAGAAAAAUACCAAACAAAAGAAACAAAACAAAAAAACCCCAAAACAAACAAACAAAAAACUGACACAAAAUAAAAAAAAGCCCACACCCAAAUGUCAUGUGUAAUCACAAGCAUGUGAUUGCACAGAAGAAAGUCUUGCUCUUCAUGAAUCAAUGAACAUCACAGCCCACUAAUCCAGCUCAGGAAAAGAACUCAGAAAUUCCUUACAUACAGUAAGAAUGAUUUAAAAGAAAUUUAACUGCAGAAACUAACACGGUAUCCAAGCAGAGACAACACCUCUGUAUGUAAACUAUUAAAAUUCAUUCAUAUGUAUAUUACCUUCUAACUGCAAUUUAAACCAUUUUCUUUACAUGAGGGUAGUUACAGCCAUUUACCACAGCUUGACUACCACCAAAAAAACUCUAACUAAUAAAACCCUAACAAAUCAGGAGAGCAAGCAGGCAGUUCAGCCUGAAUCAGCUACAACAGCACAAACACUCCAAAACCCACUGCCGUUUGCAAAACGAUAGUGGGGAGAGGCAGCGAGAGCAGAGUCCACUGGGCUACACAUCAACUGCCCCAGUAAAGUGUUACUACCAAGGCCAUGAAGUCCAUAUAAACACCCCUUUUAAAGACAGGUAAAUUAUGGCCUAAGAGGCAGCAGCAGAGCCUGAAAGUCCUGAAGUCAGCACAGGACCACACUGACAAGAUUAUCCAUCAUGUGGAUUUGGCCUUAAAUUGACCUGAAACUCCAAAUAGCUCCCCAUUUAUAAAGUGUGAGCAAGUGGUAGAAGCUUCCAAGAUCAUAAUUUCUAUUGCAAAUCGUGGUGAAGUGAUUCUGCUGUGUCUUAAUACACAAUGUAACCCACUGAUAGUUUACCUUUGCAUGGUAAUUUACUGUUUUAAAAUAACCACAUGGCAUAAGUGGUGGUUUGUAAGAAAAUUCCUUUUUUUUUUUUUAGCUAGGUUAUUUGGCUUUUUCCUUGAAUAUAUCAUUUUUUCUUUCCUAAUUAGUUGUGCUUUGUCCUUCGAGAUCAAAGAUACAUGGUAGUUAAACUGUGUUUAUUAUUACAGAAAAAUCAGAGCUAUUCAAAAGAGAUAUCUGAGCAGGGGCUUGACAGAGCUAGCUUAAGUGCUCUCCUCCCUUCAGCCCUCCUGCUUUUGCUGCUACCGAGCUCACAAAAAGUGAUGCAAAACAUAUCCCCAAGAUAUCUGUCAGGCUCUCAGUUAACAAUGUUUCAGCUACAAACUGGUCUGUCUUCAGACAGAUGCAGACUCUUGAUAAAGUAACUAGUUUUAGUCUAAAUCAUGGCUUUAAAACAUAUCAUCUUUUUUAUUCGCUGUAUUUGGUUUUCUAGACUGGAGGAUGGACAUUUUCCCUUACAGCUGCCAUCCAAGUUCUCAUCCCUUCACUCAAGUUCCUCAAGUGCUUUCAGUUAACAGGGUAUUUUGUGAUCAAAGGUUUUAAGAACAAAAGAAAACAAAACAAAACAAAAGGAACAAAAAUAAGAGAGAUCAACUUUUAUUUUUCUGUAUGAAUAAAGAACAAACAGUCCCACUAAGCAAUCAAGAAAAACACAACAAUAGCUAGGACAGAAAGCCUGCAGCAAUGUCAGUUCAGCAUCCAGUAGAUUCAAUAGGGUGCAAGGAAAAAAGUCCUUUCUGAAGGACUGAGCACCAAAUAUUCACAUCCCCAGUUAAACCAUCCCCUUCUUUAGUUUAGCUGGUAGAGGCUGCAGCUUUUAUAUUUGAUGUGGAUUACUUCAAGCCUUCUGUUCCUUGGAGCAUAUGCUCUUCCAAUGGAGCUGAGCAGGAAACAAACGGAAGGAGGUAAGCUUCUAGUAACUCCCUUUCUAACAUAACAGUUCAUUUACUAUUCUCUUUUGUGAGCAAAACCAGGAGACUUGGCCUCAAAUUCUUUUGCUUCUUGAAAUGCACAAGUUUCCAUGAAGUGGCAUCACUCCAGUUUUGGUUUAGAACUGACACAGAAAGAACUCAUUCUGGUAAACAAAAUGGGUCAUCUUUUUCAGGUUACACUUCCAGGAUUAUUAGAAAUCGAGUCAAAAAGGCAUUAAAUAAAUUACCUGGUAAAACCUUCCACUGCUGUAAAUAUAAUCAGUGCUGUUGAUUCAGUAUCCUCAAUUCUGUGCUUGAAGUUCAGGCUCUAUUUUAAUGUAGUGAGUUACAAGACUUCUUGUAACAUUUCUCCUCAAAACACUUAAGGAGCAUUCAUUCACACCAAAUUAAACAGAAGCUGCACGGCUUCUCUCCUAACACACAGUUUGGAUUGGAUAUCUUUAAGGAAUGACUGAUGGAUCAUCUUGAAGCACCAGUUCUCCAGUGCCAGCGGAGCCAUUUUGCAUGUCUUAGUACUAAAAUAUCUCAAGGUUUUAAAAAGCUACAUUUCUGCACAAGUCCCAGUAUUACCAGACUUCAACAGGAAGAAAUGACAGAUCAUGCACACAGUGAAACUCUUCUUUAUCAAUGCACUUACUCUGAGAUCUCAGACCCAGCCCCCAGGCUGCUGUGAACAGGCACAGCUUCAACUGAGGCUGUGGCUCUACAUCAAAGAGCCCCGAAGUGUUCAUCACCUACAUAAACUGUACUUAAAAAAAUACAUAUGCUGACAUGCAUUCACUUGAUUUCAUGUUCCAAAAAAUUUCAGAACUUAAUUUUCAUAGAGACUUUUAUUCUAAGCUAAAUAGCAGAGAUCUCAGUAGAGGAAAACCUUAAUAGCCUUCAUAUCCAAUGGUAAUUUGGAAACCCGUAUCUUCCCUGAAUUUCCAGUCAUCAGUUAAAGUACAAAGGCUCACCUUCUCUCCUGAGCCAUUUUUAUAAUCCUCUGUGUCAUAAAACCCCCACGUGCCUCCCAUUUCAGAGCAGUACUCCAUGGAAAACUCCGAUUUUCCCACAUGCUUUCCUCUAAUACAAAAGAGGUUUCUCAAGAGAGGCUCAAACCUUCUCGAAUUCUAAAGAGAAAGGUCUGUUAUAACAUGAAAAGAUGAUUAAGGUCCAAGUUCUUUCCAUGCAUUACCUAGGUGGUUUUUCUGCGGCAUGUAAACACCUGCCCAUGUAACUGUGUAUGUGAAGAUAAAAGGAGCAGUUAGAGCUGAUGACUUGUAAUCUGGAACAUUCCUUCCUUCUGGACAUCAGCUUGCUAGGAAUAGGUACAGGUUACCUUACAGGUACCUUCUUGUAAGGCUCUGGCAAGAUUUGUUUUUGUUUUGAAGCUGUUUGCUUUUUAAAGAACACAUCUUGUAAUCAGAUUGGUAUUUGCAUCUCCUUGGAAGAGCAGUAUCAUCAGGAAAAGCCUGAUGCUCUUGUAUGCCACCACUGAUCCAUGCAGGACUUCCCUCCUGGGUUUACUUAGCAAUGCACUCUAUUAUUUUGUUGGCAUAUCAUACCACCAAGCUCUUCAGGAAUAAAUAGAGUUAAUACUGCCAAAUUCUCUUCUGCAGCACCAAAAAAAAAAAAUCAAAAA